GGAUGCCCAGAUCUCAGUGACACUGGUUAAUCACAGUGAGCAGGAGAAGGCAGUGCAGCUGGCAAUUGGGGUCCAGGCUGUGCACUACAACGGUGUCCUUGCUGCCAAGCUCUGGAGGAAGAAGCUGCCCCUCACGCUCAGUGCCAACCUGGAAAAGACAAUAACCAUCAACCUGUUCUUCUCCAAUUUUGAACGAAACCCACCUGAGAACACCUUCCUUAGACUCACCGCCAUGGCAACACACUCUGAGUCCAGCCUUAGCUGCUUUGCUCAGGAAGACAUUGCCAUUUGUAGACCACACCUUGCCAUCAAGAUGCCAGAGAAAGCAGAGCAGUAUCAACCCCUCACAGCCUCAGUCAGCAUCCAGAACUCCCUAGAUGCCCCCAUGGAGGACUGUGUGAUCUCCAUCCUGGGAAGGGGGCUCAUUCACAGAGAGAGGAGCUACAGCCCAGGAACCAAAUUGCUUUACCUCAUUGUGUAAGACAAGCGUCAAAAACAGCUUCAACCUAUCUUGAACAAGAGAACUUACCUCCAAAGGUGAUCUGCCAUAGCUUACACAGAAUCAUAAGUGUUAUAUUUUCAUUUGUU
rnacentral:sRNA from 1 species